rnacentral:rRNA from 1 species
UACGUAGGGGGCAAGCGUUGUCCGGAUUUACUGGGCGUAAAGAGCGCGCAGGCGGUCGAUCAAGUCGCGUGUGAAAGCCCCCGGCUCAACUGGGGAGGGUCACGCGAUACUGAUCGACUCGAAGGCAGGAGAGGGUAGUGGAAUUCCCGGUGUAGUGGUGAAAUGCGUAGAUAUCGGGAGGAACACCAGUGGCGAAGGCGACUACCUGGCCUGUUUCUUGACGCUGAGGCGCGAAAGCUAGGGGAGCAAACGGG